rnacentral:tRNA from 1 species
GGGGGAUUAGCUCAGUUGGCUAGAGCACCUGCUUGACAUGCAGGGGGUCGGAGGUUCAAGUCCUCUAUCUCCCACCA